AUAUUUACUUGGAAGGGGAUACCAUGAUCACAAAGGUGCUUUUCCCAGGGCGAGGCUUAUCCAUUGCAUAUCCAAUGAGCUGACCCCUGUGAUUUCCCCAAAUGUGGAAAAUUCAACUUUAAAAUUUGUAGUAGUGGAGGACUGUGUUUUUCAUCUUAUC